rnacentral:rRNA from 1 species
CACCGCGGUUAUACGAGAGGCCCAAGUUGACAAAUACCGGCGUAAAGCGUGGUUAGGUUUAAACUCACACUAAGGCCAAACAUCUUCAAGGCUGUUAUACGCAACCGAAGACAGGAAGUUCAAUCACGAAAGUGGCUUUAUCUGAUCUGAAUCCACGAAAGCUAAGGAA